AUGCUCACUUUGGUGGCAUUUAUACUAAAAUUGGAACAAUACAGAGAAGAUUAGCAUGGCCUCUGGACAAGAAUGACACGCAAAUUCGUGAAGUGUUUUAUACUUUC